rnacentral:rRNA from 1 species
UACGUAGGGUGCAAGCGUUGUCCGGAUUCAUUGGGCGUAAAGAGCUCGUAGGCGGCUUGGCAAGUCAGAUGUGAAACCCUCAGGCUUAACCUGGGGAUGCCAUCUGAUACUGCUAUGGCUAGAGUGCGGUAGGGGACUACGGAAUUCCUGGUGUAGCGGUGAAAUGCGCAGAUAUCAGGAGGAACACCGGUGGCGAAGGCGGUAGUCUGGGCCGUUACUGACGCUGAGGAGCGAAAGCGUGGGGAGCGAACAGG